rnacentral:rRNA from 1 species
UUACGGCCUUAUCAUGUUGAAACACCAGGUUCCUUCACAAUCCCCCAAAGUUAAGCAACGUCGAGCCUGAUCAGUACCUAGAUGGGUGACUGCUUGGGAAU